CCUACGGGAGGCAGCAGUGGGGAAUAUUGGGCAAUGGGCGAAAGCCUGACCCAGCAACGCCGCGUGAAGGAAGAAGGCUUUCGGGUUGUAAACUUCUUUUGACAGGGAAGAGCAGAAGAAGGUACCUGUCGAAUAAGCCACGGCGAACUACGUGACAGCAGCCGCGGUAAUAAGUAGGUGGCAAGCGUUGUCCGGAUUUACUGGGUGGAAAGGGCGUGUAGCCGGGCUGACAAGUUUGAUGUGAAAUCCGGGGGCUCAACCCCCGAACUGCAUUUGAAACUGUUGGUCUUGAGUAUCGGAGAGGCAGGCGGAAUUCCUAGUGUAGCGGUGAAAUGCGUAGAUAUUAGGAGGAACACCAGUGGCGAAGGCGGCCUGCUGGACGACAACUGACGGUGAGGCGCGAAAGCGUGGGGAGCAAACAGGAUUAGAUACCCUAGUAGUC
rnacentral:rRNA from 1 species